UUGGUGGACAGGGAUCACGAG
rnacentral:miRNA from 1 species